rnacentral:lncRNA from 1 species
GAUUCCCAGAAAACAAAACAAACCAAAACAAACAAACAAAACAACAACAACAACACACAGAACUAUAUUGCGGGUCUGAUUUCUGACAUCUAGGAAUCUGCACUCCCUUCAUUCGCUUCAUGAUCCGCUGUUGGAUCAAACCUGCAACUUAGGAGAGGAAUGAAAUAUAACUAUUCCCAGAUACUUCUACACUUUUUAUUCUUGGCUUAUUUCUAUAAGCCUGAAAAAUGGAUGUGGGAACCAUCAUGCUCGAUCAGACUGGUUUUCCACUGAAACCAUGACAGUGUCCCAUCUGUUAUGAACACUACCUGGAUCGGAAUAGCAUACAGAAAACUUCCAGAAUAUUGCUGAUUGAGUGUGUACACAUCUUCUUGACUAUUAAGGUCACAGAAAAAAAGUCACUGAAUAGCCUGUGGGGCAAAACCAAAGAAGUGGAAUGAAAUAGCAGUGUGGUUGUGACAUAGUGUAGAAACCCCAUGUCAUUGAUUCUCUGCUGCUUACUCUCAAGUCAGCUGUUUUCUGCUGUCUCUAGAAGAAAAUUAGUUCCUCUUGCUAUUCCGGUGGAUUUUCUGCUACCAAUUUCUUUGAUUAUACACUGUGUAAGUGCUCUGUAUUAUUACUUGUAUUUAAUAAUUUGUAAUCAAUUAAAAAAAUAUCACCAUACUUACUACAAAUUUCCUGUGCAAACAGACAUUUUUUUUUGUAAGACAGUUAACUUUGGUAGUCAGAAUUUGACUGGACAUAAACUCUGGUCUUGCUUUCUGGGUUUCUGUUUGGAUAUAUCAUUUGAAAUGUGGAUGCAAAGAAUGAAAAUGAAAAUGAUUUGUUACGGUUGAUAGGGUGUGGUCUGAUGUUACUUUAGGAUUUAUAUAUUAAGAAAAUGCCCCUAGCCUUCAAACUUUGCUGAGGUUUCAGGCUAAAACUGAAUUCUUUCCAUUCAAAAAGUCUGAAAAGACCCUCUAAUCUCUCAGAGCUGUCUUUUUAAGAAAUGAUAGUUUUCUAGCAUUCCUCCCAGUCACACCAAUGCAAACAUAAUUUUACCUGUAGGAAAUAGUGUGAGAAAAUAACUAGUCUGAUGCUCUGCAUUUCUCAGCCAGGACUCUGAGGGCAACAAAGUUAAGAACAUUUUAUUAAAUCAGAAUAAGACAGGAGUUCUAAUUCCUACAUUUAAAAUGUAUUCUGUUCCUUUUUUUUUUUUUUUUUUUUUUUUUUUUUUGUGUAAACUUUAUUUAUCCAUCAUUAUAUAUGUAAGGAACUAUGGCUGUUUAGUCUGGAGAAAAGUCUGAGGGAAGAUCUUUGUUCUCUAGAACUACCUCAAAAGAGACUGCAGUGAGGUGGCUGUUGGUCUCUUUUCUCAGGUGACAAAUGACAUAAUGUAGGGCAAUUGACUCAUGUUGCACCAGGGGAGGUUUAAAUUGCAUAUGGUGCAAGGGUGGUUAGGCAUUGGAACAGGGUCCUCAGGGAAGUGAUGGAGUUGCCAUUUUUGGAGUCAUUUAAGAGACAUGAGGAGAUAGUGGUUAGUGACAUGGAUUAUUAAUGGUGGACUUGAUAUAUGAUGGCUGGACUUAAUGAUCUUGGAGCUUUUUUUUCAAAUGUAAAUGAUUCUGUGAUUCAAAUGAGAGACUGAAUAAUUCAGUUGUACUUAGUGGGAACCAUUUACUAGAAUGGUUUUCCCACAGACUUAUCAUGACAAUCAAAUAUUUUUCUUAUUUUAUAAGGUAUUAGAACAGUUUAGUGUUUCCUUCCUUUAUAGCUCUUUUAGGAGUGAUAUUGGUACAGCGAAUGAAAGUAAAGCUUAUUGCUCAGUGGUGCAUAUGGCACUUAUGUCACAACAAUAAUACUGUAAAAUUUUUAGAACAAAAUAAGUGAACUGAUAAAUUUCCUUUAUUUUCAAGUGAACCUGUACAAGGAUUAUUUCUAGUUUUUAAUAGAACUUAAACUUUAAACUUUCAGAUUUCACAUCUUGGAAAAAAUCCCCCCUCCCAAAACACAAACCAUUUAAUUUCCAUUUCUGGCAGAUCUUGUUAUUUAGUUAGCAUUCUACUCAGAAAGAAAUUUUGCUGGGAUCUUCAUAACAAAUUAAGGAGUUGUUCAUUAUUCAAACAUACUUAGAAAUGAGAGCUUUCUUUGGCUAUGUAUGAGGUAUAUGGUACUAUUUUAGAUAUAUAAAAUUAUGAUUAUUAUGAUUAUUAACAGAAAAUAUAUUCUCUGCUCAGACAAUACAGAAUAAGAAAAAGAUUUAACAACUCUUUGGCUAUUCGUUGGUAUUUUACGAUAAAAAAGAAAAUCUAAAAAAUAAACAUUCCAAUUUAUUUUAAAAUGAAAAAGAA